AUUGAACGCUGGCGGCAUGCCUUACACAUGCAAGUCGAACGGCAGCGGGCCUUCGGGUGCCGGCGAGUGGCGAACGGGUGAGUAAUGCAUCGGAACGUGCCAUUGAGUGGGGGAUAACGUAGCGAAAGUUACGCUAAUACCGCAUAUUCUGUGAGCAGGAAAGCAGGGGACCGCAAGGCCUUGCGCUCUUUGAGCGGCCGAUGUCAGAUUAGCUAGUUGGUGAGGUAAAAGGCUUACCAAGGCGACGAUCUGUAGCGGGUCUGAGAGGAUGAUCCGCCACACUGGAACUGAGACACGGUCCAGACUCCUACGGAGGCAGCAGUGGGGAAUUUUGGACAAUGGGCGCAAGCCUGAUCCAGCCAUGCCGCGUGAGUGAAGAAGGCC
rnacentral:rRNA from 1 species